rnacentral:rRNA from 1 species
GAUGAACGCUGGCGGCGUGCUUAACACAUGCCAGUCGAACGGUGAAGCAGAGCUUGCUCUGUGGAUCAGUGGCGAACGGGUGAGUAACACGUGAGCAACCUGCCCCUGACUCUGGGAUAAGCGCUGGAAACGGCGUCUAAUACUGGAUAUGAGCUGCGACCGCAUGGUCAGCAGUUGGAAAGAUUUUUCGGUCUGGGAUGGGCUCACGGCCUAUCAGCUUGUUGGUGAGGUAAUGGCUCACCAAGGCGUCGACGGGUAGCCGGCCUGAGAGGGUGACCGGCCACACUGGGACUGAGACACGGCCCAGACUCCCACGGGAGGCAGCAGUGGGGAAUAUUGCACAAUGGGCGAAAGCCUGAUGCAACAACGCCGCGUGAGGGAUGACGGCCUUCGGGUUGUAAACCUCUUUUAGCAGGGAAGAAGCGAAAGUGACGGUACCUGCAGAAAAAGCGCCGGCUAACUACGUG